UGGGCAACCUGCCCCUCUCUCUGGGAUAACCCCGGGAAACCGGAGCUAAUACCGGAUGCUCCGGCUGGAUCGCAUGGUCCGGCCGGGAAAGAUCCGCCGGAGAGGGAUGGGCCCGCGGCCUAUCAGCUUGUUGGUGGGUCAUGGCUCACCAAGGCGACGACGGGUANCUGGUCUGAGAGGACGACCAGCCACACUGGAACUGAGAUACGGUCCAGACUCCGUACGGGAGCA
rnacentral:rRNA from 1 species